AGCUUUGUUCAGUGGCAGUACUGGACCCAAUGAGGUUUAUCUGAGGCACGAUUAUUGCUACUUAAAAACUUUUCCCAAUACCCCUUCUUGAAAUACAACUUGAAAUAGGGUCUACAUUGGCAAUUUCUGACAGUCUCUACAGAGA
ensembl:snRNA U4 U4 spliceosomal RNA